UCCACUUACUAAGCCAGGGGGAGCCCCAGAGCUAAGUUUGCUUUGUUUCUGUUCCUAAGGCGCUUAGAGUUACAAGAGCCUCUUUCCACUAUGACCAACCAGGUACUGUGCUGGAUGAUUCUCCUUCAGGCAGGAACCGCAGAUGGUGGAAUAAUUCAGAUCCCAAAAUACCUAAUCAGAAAGGAAGGACAGGAUACAACCAUGGAGUGUGAACAGAAUUUGAAUUAUGACACCAUGUAUUGGUACCGACAGGACCCAGGGCAAGGCUUAAAACUCAUUUAUUACUCACUAGUUGUCACAGAUGUUCAGAGAGGGGACCUGGCUGAAGGCUACAGUGCCUCCCGGGAGAAGAAGGAAUCCUUUACUCUUGCUGUGACAUUGACUCAAACGAACCAGACGGCUGUCUAUUUCUGUGCCACUAGUAUGAACACAGUGAAGCACAGCCACCUCCUCUCCAUGCACAAAUAUGUCUCAAGGCCUGCUUCCCCAACAGGUGGCUCUUCUCUUCCCAGUCGCCAACAUGCCAUUCACAAACCUCAAGCAAGCAUUCAUUGA